UGGGGAAUAUUGGACAAUGGGCGCAAGCCUGAUCCAGCCAUGCCGCGUGAGUGAUGAAGGCCCUAGGGUUGUAAAGCUCUUUCACCGGUGAAGAUAAUGACGGUAACCGGAGAAGAAGCCCCGGCUAACUUCGUGCCAGCAGCCGCGGUAAUACGAAGGGGGCUAGCGUUGUUCGGAUUUACUGGGCGUAAAGCGCACGUAGGCGGACUUUUAAGUCAGGGGUGAAAUCCCGGGGCUCAACCCCGGAACUGCCUUUGAUACUGGAAGUCUUGAGUAUGGUAGAGGUGAGUGGAAUUCCGAGUGUAGAGGUGAAAUUCGUAGAUAUUCGGAGGAACACCAGUGGCGAAGGCGGCUCACUGGACCAUACUGACGCUGAGGUGCGAAAGCGUGGGGAGCAAACAGG
rnacentral:rRNA from 1 species